UGGCGAAGGUACCUACGUUGGCGGCAGAGCCGGCCGCGCGUCUGCCGCCGAUGCCCUUCCCUCAUGGCGGCGUCGGACCGGCCGCCGGCGCAGGACUGCCAUACGUCUUCCCCCGUCGCCGCGUUGCCUCUCCGUCCUCUCCUCCGCAGCUUCCCAACUGUUCCCCUCUCAACUCUCGACCUCUCCUCUCUACGCGGAACACCAUGACCGUCGCCGCCGAGGUCGACGCAUCCCCUGACGGAGAGGAGAGGAGGAGGCAAGCUUGCAAUCGCACAACCAUCUAUCGAUUUCUCCCUUCCUUCUCUUUCUUCUUUCUUUCUUUCUUUCGUUUCCCCCUCUCACAUGUCAGGUUAUUUUUUCUCCUCAUCCUCUCCGGAUGAUUUCACUUUUGCUCGAAAUCUCUCAUGUUGUUGUGUUGAAGGCGGCGAAGGGGGAAACUUUGGUGGUGGUGGUGGCCGGAGAGGAGGAUGGCGGCAGCGGCAGUGACGGCGGCGGGUACGACAAGGCCGGGAUGGACUCCGGCAAGUACGUGCAGUACACGCCGGAUCAGGUGGAGGCGCUGGAGCGGGUGUACGCCGAGUGCCCCAAGCCCAGCUUCUGUCGCCGCCAGCAGUCGCCAACAUCGAGCCCAAGCAGAAGAUCAAGGUCUGGUUCCCAAAACAGAAGGUGAGCAAAAGCAUGCAGGGAUAUACUAUCAAACUGGUUUGCCUUCUGUGUGUCUGGCUGUGAAAUGUUCUGGACAAAUUGGUUGACAAUGGAGCAAUAGCAAUAGUAGUGUUCAAUUGUUUGCCUUGGUUGUGCAUACUCUGCUUCAACUAUAUUUAGGAAUUGCAAGUCUAUGUAUUUAUUUGUUUUGCUUCCUUUCUUGCAUAAUGGAACAACCUUUAUAUAAUCAAGGAAGUAUACUGUACUUAUCA